rnacentral:rRNA from 1 species
GACGAACGCUGGCGGCGUGCUUAACACAUGCAAGUCGAACGGUAAGGCCCUUUCGGGGGUCCACGAGUGGCGAACGGGUGCGUAACACGUGGGUGAUCUGCCCUGCACUUUGGGAUAAGCCUGGGAAACUGGGUCUAAUACCGGAUAGGACUACGCGAUGCAUGGCGUGUGGUGGAAAGCUUUUGCGGUGUGGGAUGGGCCCGCGGCCUAUCAGCUUGUUGGUGGGGUGAUGGCCUACCAAGGCAACGACGGGUAGCCGGCCUGGGAGGGUGUCCGGCCACACUGGGACUGAGAUACGGCCCAGACUCCUACGGGAGGCAGCAGUGGGGAAUAUUGCACAAUGGGCGCAAGCCUGAUGCAGCGACGCCGCGUGGGGGAUGACGGCCUUCGGGUUGUAAACCCCUUUCAACAAAGACGAAGCGUAAGUGACGGUAUGUGCAGAAGAAGCACCGGCCAACUACGUG